UCUUUCCUUCUCUAUAGAUACCUAAUCGCCUCUCUUCUUCUCUUUCCUCUGGAUCCUUUUGACCUCUUUGAUUUUCUUUUUUUGUUCUUUUGAUAUUGUCAAUGUCAAUAACAAUAGGUUGAUCAAGAAUCUGGAGCAAAUCAAAAGGAAGAUCAUCAUCUCUGCAAAAUCAUGAGAACACCGAAAAUUGCAAGAUCAGUUUGAGACGAAAUGGGUUUUUAACAUGCAAUAGAAAUUUUGUGCGGGCAGGUAAAACAGCUUAAUGAGGCUAUAAAGGUUUGAGUUGCAGAGUGGUCGUUGGGGAGUCAGAACACUAACCAUUGGCGUACAGAAUAGCAUGCUGCAAUAGUAUUUUGGAGUUUUAUUUCUAAACGUUGGGGAAUGGGGAUCUAUUGUGAUGUUCUGAGCAUAGGAGGGAUCGCAGAAAAGGAUUCAUCAUUUUAAUUCGAAGUUUUAAUAAUAUUUAAAUGGAUGGAGAUGCUAAAAACCAAAAUUUGGAUCACAGGUCCACGGAAAUUACACCAUUACGACUUGUCGUGCCUGUAGUUUUUUCCUCGAGGGAAAGUGGUUAUUUUUUCAUGUGUUUAAUCCUCUAGGAAUCUCUGUUAAGAGCUGCAAACCAGGAAAGGAAGUGAAUUGCUACUGGACAAUGAGAUUUUAAGAUUUUUUUCAGUAAUGCAAUCAUUGAAGAAAGAGAAUAAGGAGAAUCCAAGAGAUACAGAACCAGUUGGCGAGGUAAAUGACAUUUUCAACGAUCUUGCUGUGAGCCUGUGAUGGUGCAUGAGCAAGGAGCUGUCAUGGGUAACUCAGCUCCCUCCAUAGAGAUAAGAAUGACUGGUUGGCACUUAAGAAAGCAAAGUAAACCAGGUGCCAAAGAAUAUUUGAACUACAUUGGUUAGGUGGAGAAAUUGGGUACAUGGUGAAUGGUGAGGUGGUAGAAGUAUUCGAACUAGCAGACAUUUGAUGACAAGGAAAAAGCAAUUUAGGUCAACAUUUUCAGAUAGCUAAUUACAUGUAUCUAAUAUAUUAAGCGGUUUUGUAAAUUGUGACAACAUCGUUGUUUUUUUAGAGAGCCUUUGUGUAGUUGUCCUUGGUCUUUCUUUCAUGGAGCCUUUGGGUUGUUUAAAUUUUCAUUUUGGUCUUUUAUGAUUAAUGGAUGACUAGGUGUUAAGAUAGCUAAUUACAUCGGUGAUCAUCGGUUAUCUGUUUGUUUA